GAGUUUGAUCCUGGCUCAGGACGAACGCUGGCGGCGUGCCUAAUACAUGCAAGUCGAGCGCGGGAAGCGAGCUGAUCCUCUUCGGAGGUGACGCUCGUGGAACGAGCGGCGGACGGGUGAGUAACACGUGGGCAACCUGCCUGUAAGAUCGGAAUAACCCCGGGAAACCGGAGCUAAUGCCGGGUAAUACUUUUCUUCGCAUGAAGGAAAGUUGAAAGAUGGCUUCUCGCUAUCACUUACAGAUGGGCCCGCGGCGCAUUAGCUAGUUGGUGAGGUAACGGCUCACCAAGGCAACGAUGCGUAGCCGACCUGAGAGGGUGAUCGGCCACACUGGGACUGAGACACGGCCCAGACUCCUACGGGAGGCAGCAGUAGGGAAUCUUCCGCAAUGGACGAAAGUCUGACGGAGCAACGCCGCGUGAACGAUGAAGGUUUUCGGAUCGUAAAGUUCUGUUGUUAGGGAAGAACAAGUACCGUGCGAAUAGAGCGGYACCUUGACGGUACCUAACGAGAAAGCCCCGGCUAACUACGUGCCAGCAGCCGCGGUAAUAC
rnacentral:rRNA from 1 species